CAGCCCUAUCACAUUGAAACACUGAUUCUCAUCUGAUCACUGAAGUUAAGCAACAUUGAGCCUGGUCAGUACCUAGAUGGGUGACCACUUGGGGGGGAUACCAGGUGCUGUAA